GAUGAAGAACGCAGCGAAAUGCGAUAAGUAAUGUGAAUUGCAGAAUUCAGUGAAUCAUCGAAUCUUUGAACGCACCUUGCGCCCUUUGGACUUCUGAAGGGCAUGCCUGUUUGAGUAUCAUGAACACCUCAACUCCUUAUGGUCUUCCAUGAUGAGCUUGGACUUUGGGGGUUUUGCUGGCCUACAGUCAGCUCCUCUAAAAUAAAUCAGCUUACCGGUGUUUGGUGGGUAUCAUGGGUGUGAUAACUAUCUACGCUCGUGGUUUUCCACCAGGUAACCUUCAGCAGUGGAGGUUCACUGGAGCUCAUAGAUGUCUCUCCUCAGCGAGGACAGCCCUUUGAAUGUUUGAUCUCAAAUCAGGUAGGACUACCCGCUGAACUUAAGCAUAUCAAAAGCGGAGG
rnacentral:misc_RNA from 1 species